ACUUGUGAGACUGAUAUUACAUUUUGAACCUUAUUUGUUGUCUUCUUUAUUUUUUUUCCCCUUUUUUUUCUUUUGUCUGAACCCACUUUUCCUCUGGUUCUUCUUCUUCUCUACAGGAGACCAUCACAGGCUCCACAAUCCAUUCCCCUCCCAUCUCCUGUCUCUUUUUUGCUUCCAUUUCUUUCUUCAAUUAUAUUUUCUCUUCAAAGAUUUCAACUCUUUUCUCAGAUGAGUACUUCGGCGGUUGAAGUUAGUGGUGAAAAAGUCAAAGCAAUGUCGGAUAAGAGAUUGACAAAAAUAUUUUGUGAUAUUUGUAUUAAAGAGAUAUUGAAAGGCAAUAGGCCUGGUACACAUUUCACAAAAGAUGGAUUGUUGAAAAUAAUGACCAACUUUGAGAAAGAAACGGGCAAGGCUUUUUCACAAAGACAACUUAAAAAUAGGUGGAGUGCCCUAAAAAAAGAAUGGAAAGCUUGGAAGAAACUUAAAGGCGAAGAUACUGGUCUAGGGUGAAAUCCUAUAAAAAGAACAGUUGAUGCAUCGGAUGAUUGGUGGGAGAGUAGGCUAAAGGUUGUGCCUGAAGCUCAAAAAUUUAGAACAUCGGGCAUUGAUCCUGAAUUCGAAGGGAAGUUGGACCAAAUGUUCACGGGGAUAGUUGCAACAGGUGAUAAAGCAUGGGCACCUUCUUCUGGUACACUCCGUAGUGAUUUUUUUGAGGAUGUUAACAAUGAAAUACUUGAAGAGAAUGAAGAAGAAAAUGUGAGAAUUGAUGUUCACAUUUUAAAUGAUAUUCACAUUUCAAAUGAUGUUCAAAUUGAUGGAAACGGUCAAAAAAGAAAAAACCCUGAGAUAUCAAGUUCACAUUUUAAAAUUGGAAAAAAGAAAUCCUUAAAGCAAAUUGGAGGGGCUGCAAGAUUGUCCAGUCAAAUAGAAAAAUUAUGCAAUGCAGCUGACAAUAUGAGUCAAGCUACAUGUAGUUUGACUCCUGUUAUGGAUCCAUAUGGUAUUCCACAAGCAGUCAAAGUGCUCGACAGCAUGUCGGAAGAAGUUCCAGAAGCUAGUCCGCUAUACUUUUUCGCACUUAGAUUAUUGCUCAACAAAGACAAGCGAAUUAUGUUUUUAUCAAUUAAUCCCAAGAUUAGAGCAUUGUGGCUUAAGAAAGAAAUGGAGGAUAGUUGAAAAUUUUCUAAUCUUCUAGGGUUCAGAGAUAUCUAUUAUGUGACUAAACAACAAUGCUAAACUAGUUUUAUCAAUAGUUAUUUACGUUUGGUUUUUGGAUAUUGAA